UACGUAGGGUGCGAGCGUUGUCCGGAAUUAUUGGGCGUAAAGAGCUCGUAGGCGGUCUGUUGCGUCCGCUGUGAAAACUCGGGGCUUAACCCCGAGCCUGCAGUGGAUACGGGCAGACUAGAGGUAGGUAGGGGAGAAUGGAAUUCCCGGUGUAGCGGUGAAAUGCGCAGAUAUCAGGAGGAACACCGGUGGCGAAGGCGGAUCUCUGGGCCGAUACUGACGCUGAGGAGCGAAAGCGUGGGGAGCGAACAGG
rnacentral:rRNA from 1 species